GUCAAGGUUUCGACGGGGUUUUUGAAACUGGAGAAGCAAGCCGUUGCGACACGUUAAUCGCAAAAUUAAAAUUAAACGCUGAAGAUAAUUUAGCAUACGCUGCCUAGUUGCAGCUGUCAGUCUCUUUGUACCUAUCCAUAGAGAAGCUGGCAUCGACUAGAUAGGAAACGACACAUACUAAGCUUUGCGUAUGUGGGCGUAUGAUGAAGCUACUGAAUGUAUCCGGGUGUCAAUCACCGGAUGCAGGAGGGAAUGUAAUCCGAUUGACUAAGCUUGUAGAAGUACAGGGGAUGGGGCUUCGGACACGGGUUCGACUCCCGUCUAGUCCA
rnacentral:tmRNA from 1 species